UCAUGGAUCAAGUGAAACUGAAGACUUGGGAAGCAACAAGCAUUCAGUUCAAUCCCAAGAUAUUUCCUAUGACUAUAAAGACUUCUUCAUUAUUUUCUGAAUUCUGUCAGACCAAGCAGAGAACUGACCUAACCUCUGAUAAUUCUCUGAUUAUAAUAAUGAGAGAAGCAAAAAAUGUCUGUAAGGAAAAAGAUGGGGGUGCCACCAUUUGUGUAAGAGAAGCUGGAGUUCAUAGAGCUCUGCCCAGGCGUGGAUAAGGGCCAGCUGAGAGCUUACAGGUAAGGAUUAAAGCAUUAUGGUUGAUACUGCAGCAUGUGCAUGCUAUAGGGAAAAUGACUAGGAAGAGCAAACGUAUGAAGCCUGCUUCACACAGCUAGAAACUGUCUCAAUGGUGAUUUCCACCUUAACACCUGCUGGAGGAACAACACAGCAGGGCAUAAACCCAGCAUCGUCCUGACCACAAUUUCUUGACACAAGUAACAGAGAAAACAAGAAAAGAUGCUCUGGACCUCAUGUUCACCCAUGAGCAAAGCCUCACUGGGGAUAGGAAGGGUGGAGGCAACCUUGGUUGCAAUGACUAUGAGAUGAAGUUCAGAAUGCUAAGAGGAAAGAGCCAAGCAAAAAAGCAAAAUCAUAACUCUAGGCUUCAGGAGAACAGACUUUGGCCUUUUUAGGGAUCCGCUUGGAAAAGGCCCAUGGGAAAAGGCCCUAGAGGGAAGAGGGGUCCAGGAAAGCUAGCUGAAAUUCAAAAAUCAUCUACUCCAAGCUCACAAGAGAUCCAUCCCAAAAGUAGGAAGUCAGGCAAAAAUGCCAGCAGGCCUAUCUUGAUAAACAAGGAGCUCUGGCCAAACUCAGCUGUAAAAAGGGAAUAUAAUGAAGGUGGAAGCAGAGAUAGGUAACACUGGAGAAAUAUAAAGCAUUCUGAGCAUUCAGAGACAGAAUUAGGAAAGCCAAAGCACAUCAGGAGUUGAAUCUAGCAAGAAAUGUAAGAGGCAACAGGAAGUGCUUCUGUAAAUACCUAAGAGGCAACAGGAAGGUGCAGGCUUACUGCAGAAGGGGGCAGAGGUUCUGAUGACACAAGACACGGAAAAAUCUGUGGUAGUGAAAACUGCCUUCAUCCCACAUUUCCUUGUAAGACUGGACUUCAGAAAUCUAAAGUACAAGGAGCAAGGUGCGGUGUAAGAAAGACAGUGCAAGAGGAUCUGCUUCCAGAAUACUUAAGCAAACUGGUCACAGCUAAGUUAGCAAACCCUAAUGCAAAAUUACUAAGAUGGUGAAGGGACUGGAGCAUCUUCCACGUGAAGGAAGGAUGAGAGAGAUAGGGCUAUUCAGCAUUGAGAAGACUCUGGGGAAAUCUUAUCCAUGAGUACAAUCUGUCAAGCAAGAAGCUCAAGCUGGCAGACACAAGUAAAACAGAUGCUACAUAUUUUUGGCAACAGACAUUAAAAAUAUCCUGCCAAGGGUAAGUUUGGGCAGCUUCUGGCAGAACCUCAGAUACCUAAGCAAGAAGGCCAAAUAUGAGGUGAGAAGAGGUACUGGAGAGAACAAGAACCUUAUGGGUGAUAAGAACAUAAACGUUCUGCGAAAGCUGAAUACAAAUUAAUAGUACUAUAUGAAUUAUCUUUGAUUUACUGAAUGACACUGGAAAAUGGUACUGAAGUCAGGUCUUACAGUACCAAAGUCAGUUCAGUAAGAACUGCACACCCAGAUGUUAUGUAUCUUCUUUGUCCAGAGAAGUCUUAACAUUCAGUGUAAUCAAAACAAGGACAGAUAAUACUGUAUUUCUUGAAUGGAAUGCAGGACACUAGUUUUAUAUCAGGGAACAGUAUUUCUCCUACCAUCAUUCUCUUAAGUAUAUGUUUCUACAGUGCUUAACUAUACUAUUUUGCUAUCAUGAUAUAAUUUUGUUUUUUAAAGUUAAAAAUAUAAUGGUUAUUUACACUUGAUUUUAAAUUACAAAACAUCCUAAUGCACAGUUCUAACCUAAAACUCAGCUACAAUAUCAUCUGUCCAAGUCCACAUACAGAAGGUGUCAGUGCACUGCAUUUUAAGUAGGAAUUAACAUAAUGAAUUCAUCCACUGAUAAAACCAAGAGGGCUAUGAUUCAGCAACAGAACAUGAUAUUGUUCCCUAGUAUGGUGCUGCCUAAGGGAGCAGACACACUGCUGAACUUCUGAAUGUGCCAUAUAAACAAUCCACAUCCAUAUUUCUUUUGCUAGAUUUCAGUCCCUAAUAACACUUCUUGAUCUUUCUAAAGAUUGUAGGUUUGGCACUUUGUUUUUUGUUAGGUUGGUUGUUUGCUUUGUUUGUUUGCAUUGAGUGUGUGCCUUUCCUCAGAGAAAACGGCAAAAUGAGAUAAAGAAUCAUUUACUGAUUUAAGAAAAAGCAAGUUGUGUUUAAUGAGUUAAAUACUGCCAGAUACUUUUCCAUUGUUUACUGUGUCAAGAUGCAAGUUUAAUGAGUUUAAUUACUGAUUGCCUAGUCACUGGCAUAACAAGUCCUUCAGUGAAUGCAGCAGGUGAAACUGCUAUCACAAACUGGUUAAAACAAGAUUGAGGAGCAUCAAAAAUAAUCACACAUCUCGUGAUGAAUAGCAAUUAUUUGGCAACUUUCCUCCCUCGUUGCCAAAUUCUUAAAAUAAAAUCAGACUUUCUGAGUUCUCAAUAGCAUAAAAUAAUGCUUUUUUGCUAUAUGAAGUUAAGCUCCUUUUUGACUAGGAGAUAUCGGAAUAAUCUUCCUGUAAGAAUAUCUUUCAGUCUUUCCAACAAAAUGUAUCUGUUUUGGAGCUGCUGAAACGUUCUCAGGAUAAAUGCUAAACAUAUAUAAUUGCUUGGUCUGCAAAGGCAUUUCUGCCUAUUCACCUAAUAGGUGAAGGCAACCAAGUGGCAAUCCAGGCAUAAGCAGAAAGAUUAUUUUCUGGAACCAGUAAGGUAAAGGUCUUUGUGAACAGAAUUGAAGGAGGUUUACAAUAUAAAUUACAUUUUUUGAUAGAAGAUUCAGUUAUGAGCAAAGCAUUUACAAACACCAAAGAGGCAAAGGAGAACACGAAUAAUAAAAAACGCUAUCUUAAAAAAAGAAAUCAGAAAAAUGUAGUAAACAUGCUCCGUGUUUUGGAUUCAGCUCCCUCUCUAAAAACCACAACAGACUGGACACUGAUCCAAAAGCAGCAAUGAACUGACUUACAGAACUGUCAGAAUCACCGCUUCAAAGCAAAACUUAAGACUCACUAUUUUAUGAGAAUUUGUUUUAGGUGGCAUCAGCCCAUCACACUGAGUCCUUUGGUUCUCAUAUUAUCAGAAUACGUACAUGUUACCUUGCUUAGUAUAGAAGGCAUUGCCGCUGUCUGCCUAGCUCUGCAGCGUGACUAAACCAAGGUAUGGCUACUGAAGAAGUUUCUUUACAACACAGCAAAAUAUUUGUUUCUCUUAAGAGUUAAGUUUAAACUCUUAGGUUUAAACUCACUUAGAACCUGCUAUUAUGCCAAUACCAGCUGAGCUUUGAAUUUUCAUGAUUUAAAGUUUCUAUUCCAAAUAUUAUGUGCUUUUUCUAAAAAUAAAUUGGUCCAGGAACAGCUAUUAUUUGCAACAUACUUUUUAGUAUCCCAACCGAGAUAACAAGUUUUAGACAUGCUGGUCUCAGCAAACUGACUACUUAAUUGCUUUUAUAGAAAUCCUACAAUAAAAACAUUUUCAAGGCAGCUGUUGGCUAAAACAUCAAAGCUCAGCUUGGACUAACAUUUCUUCAAUUCAGUGGCUCAGUUGGGAUACACGAAGCAUUCAGCAGAUAAGGUAAACUUCACUUAAUGGCAACCCUUGGUCUAAUCAAGUUUAUUCUGCCAAGGUAAAAAGCAAUGCUUAAUAGGGCAUACUGUGCUCCACAAUAAAGUAUUCUACUUCAGAAGGCUCUUUUAUUAUUAAAAAAAUAAUAAUAAUAAAAAUUAAAUAUUUCAUAAACUAUUGUGGAAUAAAGCAAUUUUAUCUGUACCACACAAUAUGCUUUUUGGUAUUCAGAAUAAAAUUCAAAUUAGGAAAGCAGGAAUAUGAUCCCACAAAAUCCUGGCAGUUGUGGAUAUUUGAGAACUUUUUAGUUAAGUGUCCAUCUGUUCAACAGCGUGUACUUCUCUGGCCUCACAACACACAUAUCAAGUCCUGUGAGCCUUCCAUCAUGCUAAUGCUACUGAGGAGAAAUGACAGAGAAACUAUACAGAUCUAGUCCCCUGCUAACUAUAAUUGAAAAAAAAAAAUAACCUCUGUACGUAUCUAUGGAUAUCUGACAGAGCCCUCGUUGUGUGAAGCAGAUCUAAGGAUCUGAGUCUGAAGAUCCAUUAAUGUUAUGGUAGUAUUCAGUAAGUUUCACAGUUCUUGCACUUCUAGAGUAAACCCUUAGGGGGAAGAAGAAAAACAAAAAUACCCAACAGUGUAGCUUAACAGCUAUCGUUUAGCAAUUGUUUAUAAGUUAAAUAUAUUUGUUUUCAAUGAUUAUACUUUAAUUAACAUGUAAACUUGACAUGCAUUUUUAUACUGAUACACCUGCUCUCAGGCUAAUGUUACUUUUCUUUGUGUACAAGAAAGAGGUACUGAGGCAUCUGUCCAUCCAGGUCUAAAUACAGCAUCUUUAUACUUGAAUCCUUUGGAGCUCCAGUCCCAGCUCUCUAUAGUCUCAUAUCAGCUCAAUCCUCAAACUAUUACUUUUUCUUCAAGCUAAAUUAACUUUACAGACGGAAUAAAGGAGAACUGAUUGAUAGUCCUUCACAAAGCACACACCUUGUGGCCACACCACUUCUUCAGAAGAGAAAGAAAACAAAGUCAAACUGUCCACUGAAAUCCCUCCUUUUUGUAUCCCUGGGAAGGAUGCACACACAAAUAAGCAUAGCAGCUAGUCAUACAGUAAUUAGCAAACUUUAAACACAACAUUUCUUAAUCAUGGAUUCCCAAACCAUGAUGCACAAGUCAUUUCAACAGCAAUGCUUAUGCCAGGUAGAAAACACCACCAGUUUCUGUGUGUGCAGAGACUCUUAUCUCAAGUGUAAGAACAAGCAGCUCUAACAGGCAUUUGCCUCCAAAGCACAGACAGGUUGGCUGCUGCACAAGGCAGCAACCCCCAGCCACCUGACAGUACUCAGCACACGGGGAAAGAUCUAGCUGAUUUUUGGGACCCCACUUCAAUCUCAGUACAGGCAAACAAGUACAGAGACGGCUGGGAAUGGAGUUCCACAGACAGAAGGCAAGGAACAGGACUGUAGACUCAAUUUAUGGGAAAAUAGAAUCAUAGGAAGGUAGAGAAGAAAUAGUCGGGAUACCAGUUUGUGGAGCUAUCAUAAAAGAAACACAAGACUGCGGAUGUGGCAAAUACUUCUAAGAUUCCUCAGUGCCUAGAGCCAAUUGAAUUAACUCAUAUACACCAUAUCAAAUUUGUAACAUCAGAACUACAGGAAAAAAUGCAAGUAGUUAUCCAAUAAACCAGUAAGCAGAAAUGCAUCAAGUGAAGUACUUACAGG